GGGGAGCAUGAAGCAGACGGGGGUGAGCCUGCGCUACAUGAUGGAGUUCGGGUCGCGCCCCACGGAGCGGAACCUGCUGCUCUCCGCGCAGUUCCUGCAGAAGGAGCUCCCAAUCCGGAUCGCGCGCCGCGCGCUCGAGCUCGAGUCCCUCCCCUUCGGCCUCUCCCGCAAGCCCGCCAUCCUCAAGGUGCGGGAUUGGUACUUGGACUCUUUCCGCGACAUCAGAUACUUUCCAGAAGUGAGGAAUAGGAACGACGAGCUCGCUUUU
rnacentral:misc_RNA from 1 species